rnacentral:rRNA from 1 species
GACGAACGCUGGCGGCGUGCUUAACACAUGCAAGUCGAACGGAAAGGCCCUGCUUUUGUGGGGUGCUCGAGUGGCGAACGGGUGAGUAACACGUGAGUAACCUGCCCUUGACUUUGGGAUAACUUCAGGAAACUGGGGCUAAUACCGGAUAGGAGCUCCUGCUGCAUGGUGGGGGUUGGAAAGUUUCGGCGGUUGGGGAUGGACUCGCGGCUUAUCAGCUUGUUGGUGGGGUAGUGGCUUACCAAGGCUUUGACGGGUAGCCGGCCUGAGAGGGUGACCGGCCACAUUGGGACUGGGAUACGGACCAGACUCCUACGGGAGGCAGCAGUGGGGAAUAUUGCACAAUGGGCGGAAGCCUUAUGAAGCAACGCCGCGUGCGGGAUGACGGCCUUCGGGUUGUAAACCGCUUUCGCCUGUGACGAAGCGUGAGUGACGGUAAUGGGUAAAGAAGCACCGGCUAACUACGUG